AUUGAACGCUGGCGGCAGGCUUAACACAUGCAAGUCGAGCGAGCGGCGGACGGGUGAGUAAUGUCUGGGAAACUGCCUGAUGGAGGGGGAUAACUACGGGAAACGGUAGAUAAUACCGCAUAACAUCAGAUGUGCCCAGAUGGGAUUGGCUAGUAGGUGGGGUAAUGGCUCACCUAGGCGAAGAUCCCUAGCUGGUCUGCGAGGAUGACCAGCCACACUGGAACUGAGACACGGUCCAGACUCCUACGGUAGGAAGCAGUGGGGAAUAUUCCACAAUGGGCGCAAGCCUGAUGCAGCCAUGCCGCGUGUGUGAAGAAGGCCUUCGGGUUGUAAAGCACUUUCGGCGAGGAGGCGUUACUCGCAGAAGAAGCACCGGCUAACUCCGUGCCAGCAGCCGCGGUAAUUC
rnacentral:rRNA from 1 species